rnacentral:rRNA from 1 species
AUUGAACGCUGGCGGCAUGCCUUACACAUGCAAGUCGAACGGCAGCACGGGAGCAAUCCUGGUGGCGAGUGGCGAACGGGUGAGUAAUAUAUCGGAACGUGCCCAGUCGUGGGGGAUAACGUAGCGAAAGCUACGCUAAUACCGCAUACGAUCUAUGGAUGAAAGCGGGGGAUCGCAAGACCUCGCGCGAUUGGAGCGGCCGAUAUCAGAUUAGGUAGUUGGUGAGGUAAAGGCUCGCCAAGCCGACGAUCUGUAGCUGGUCUGAGAGGACGACCAGCCACACUGGGACUGAGACACGGCCCAGACUCCUACGGGAGGCAGCAGUGGGGGAAUUUUUGGACAAUGGGCGCAAGCCUGAUCCAGCAAUGCCGC